rnacentral:lncRNA from 1 species
UCCGACCCCUUGACCCAUGAUCGCAAUAUUAGCAUUGUUUGUAGGAAUGCCUCCUACCCACACAUACUCUCUCUUGACUUGGAGCUAUGUUGUAAUGUAGAGAUGGCUUCUUUAGUCCCACAUCAGCUGUGAGUUAAGAGAGAGUAUGGUUAUAUGAAUUGAAAUCUUUUCUCCCCUGUAAAAUGCCUUUUAAAGACUAAAACCGUGAGGU